rnacentral:rRNA from 1 species
AUGUGGGGAAAGGUGAAGAGUAAAGGCGAUGAGUGGAUGUAUCCAAAGCCAGUCAUGGAUUUAAGCGGUUGGAACAUCCGCUGCAUGGCUUCUGGUAACAUGCACCACACUGUUGGUGCAGAUGAUUCUUGCAUAAGUUGGGGUCAUUCUGAAUAUGGGGAGCUUGGUUAUGGCCUAACACAAAAAUCAUCUGCAAAUCCUAAGAAGGUUGACAUUCUUGAAGGAAUGCAUGUUACAAGUGUUGGUUGUGGAGUUGGGAUGUCUCUGAUUGUUGUUGACAGGGCAAGUGUUGGUGGUAAGCUUGAGCAGCUGGAUACUUUUGAUGGUGAUGCUGAUGCACUUUUUCAAGAGAACACAAAAGAGCUCUAUUUUCCUCCGCGCCGCAAACAUCCCGCAGUCGAUGAAACAGGUACUUGCUAG